CAUCACCUAACCACACAUAGUACCACCGUCAAACACCACCAUUGCCAGAGCAACCUCUAUCACAUCACGACAAUCGAUCAUCACCAUUGCAUAUAGCUAGAGCCACCACCACUGCACACAUUACCACACCACGUACUGCACGCACUCAACCACUCACCGCCAUUGCACCUACAACAACACAGCACCAUGCCACCACCGCACCGCACACCUCCACUUCUAUCUCUACCACACCACUAGCCACACAGUACCAUACCACCACUGGAGACGGCACCACACCACCCACAGCACCACAGUAGCACAUCAACACCGCAGCCACCAGAGAUCUUCAUUUCCACAACCGCAUCGCACACCUCCACCACUGAAACGUUAAUCAUCAGACCACGGAAAAAUUUAAAAAAGGAAGAAGAAUGGAUCUGCAUCGUGCAACUCAACAAAGUGAGUGCCAUGAGUAGGCACCAAAGUGGGGGAAAUAAAGUAGUGGAGAGAUUUGUAGUGCCACCCCAGAGAUCUGUAGCGAAAACCACCUUAAAAAAAAAAAAAACAAACAAAGGCGGCGAUGAGUGCUGCUGAUUUAAGGAAAAGGCGAUGAAUGUGCAACGCUAUGGGAUUGUGGCUUGCGUUGAACUGUGAUGACGGUGUCUUCGAUGACGACGACAGGCACGCGUGGUGUUGUAGCCAGUAAGUAACUAGAGAGAGAAAGUGAGAGAUUAGGGAGAGAGUGUGUUAUAAUUAAUUUUGAUUGAUUAUUAAUAUUAUAUUUUUGAUUGAUUAUUGAUAUUGUAUUUAAAGAUGAAACUUAAAAUAGAAACAAUAAGAACAAUAAAGAUCAAUAUGAUACAAAUCUACUGUUGAGGGGUGGCAAUUUCAAUAGUAGUUGUUGUGCCU
rnacentral:lncRNA from 1 species